UGCAACUCCUUCCACUUCCUUGAGGAACACAGUUCAUGAUCUGGCUGGAAAAGCCCCUAUUUCUUCAUCCCCUUUAUCUGGCUCUGCAGUGAACCUCUCUAUCUUAGGGAAAGGGUCUGAUGCUAUUAUUUCGAACCUACGUCCUAUAUCCCAUGCAGAGGAAGGCGAAAUCUCCCCAACAGUCUCGGUUGAUGUCCCUAAAAGUUGGAGUGCUGUAG
rnacentral:lncRNA from 1 species